rnacentral:rRNA from 1 species
UACGUAGGGUGCGAGCGUUAAUCGGAAUUACUGGGCGUAAAGCGUGCGCAGGCGGUGAUGUAAGGCCGAUGUGAAAUCCCCGGGCUUAACCUGGGAACUGCAUUGGUGACUGCAUUGCUGGAGUAUGGCAGAGGGGGGUGGAAUUCCACGUGUAGCAGUGAAAUGCGUAGAGAUGUGGAGGAACACCGAUGGCGAAGGCAGCCCCCUGGCCCGGUACUGACGCUGAGGCACGAAAGCGUGGGGAGCAAACAGG